rnacentral:rRNA from 1 species
GACGAACGCUGGCGGCGUGCCUAAUACAUGCAAGUUGAGCGCUGAAGGUUGGUACUUGUACCAACUGGAUGAGCAGCGAACGGGUGAGUAACGCGUGGGGAAUCUGCCUUUGAGCGGGGGACAACAUUUGGAAACGAAUGCUAAUACCGCAUAAAAACUUUAAACACAAGUUUUAAGUUUGAAAGAUGCAAUUGCAUCACUCAAAGAUGAUCCCGCGUUGUAUUAGCUAGUUGGUGGGGUAAAGGCUCACCAAGGCGAUGAUACAUAGCCGACCUGAGAGGGUGAUCGGCCACAUUGGGACGGAGACACGGCCCAAACUCCUACGGGAGGCAGCAGUAGGGAAUCUUCGGCAAUGGACGAAAGUCUGACCGAGCAACGCCGCGGGAGUGAAGAAGGUUUUCGGAUCGUAAAACUCUGUUGGUAGAGAAGAACGUUGGUGAGAGUGGAAAGCUCAUCAAGUGACGGUAACUACACAGAAAGGGACGGCUAACUACGUG